rnacentral:lncRNA from 1 species
AUGUUGCCCAUGCUGGUCUUGAACUCCCAAGUAACUGAGAUUACAGAUGCGUGCUACCAUGCCAGGUUUAUGCUAAAAGAAAGAUCUGAAGUACCUUUACAAGGUUAUUUCCAAGGUUGUGGUAUAGAAGGUCAUCUGUCUUUUUUUAAGAGAAAAAUAAUAUCCAAAGAAGUCCCAGCACCCAGAAGACUUUUCCAUUCUGUGUUUCAUUUGCCAGAAUUUCUUCUUACAAGCCCUUAA